GGCGGCGGCCGGGGCGGCGCGGAGAGGAGCGCGGAGCCGCUGCCGCCACAGGGCACCGUCCCCUGCUCGGCCUCACGGUGGCGGUGCGGACACGGCAGGGGCGCGGAGCAAAGGCGGGAUCUGCGCUCGCCGCGGCCCCGGCUCACGCCGACCUGCCUCGCCACGGGGAGAGUCCGACUAGAGAGCUGGGGGGCGUUAUGGUCCAGCUGGGAAAGACGGGGUCCAUAACUCCUUAGAGUGGUUAUUUAUCCCCUCCCCCAGCCCUGCGGGGGAGGUGGCUAAGGUUUGGAGCAACAACCCCCCUCCCUGAGCUAGAAGGUCCCUCCAAAGGCUAAGUCAAGAGCAGUCAUUGAAGACAAAACCGUUCUGUAGUUUCUUGGGGUGCAGGUGCCUGCAGUACUCCCAGAAAGUCGCCCCCUUCCCCCCGUGCUCCAGUCCGGAGGACAAAGGUCUAUCGAUGUCCAUACUCUUCCCCAGUGAGGACAGCCGGGGAAGACCUGCCUCUGUUGUGUAAAGGAUUGAUGAGUGGACUCUCGGUCUGGCUGUGGGCAGUACCUCCACGUCCUUUCAGGGAUAUGGGCUCAAUCUACACAAAAGGAAGAAAACCUACAGAUCAAGUCAAAAGGUCUUUUCAGAUGGAAAGCUCACAUUCUCAACUCCACACUCUGCUGCCUCCCAGACCCUGCAUGAGAAGCUGCAGAUACCAGGGUCAUAAUAUAAGCUGUAGUAUAAGUGACUGGGGCCAGGUCUCUUGAGGACCUAUGAGGGAAGAUUUAACAUGAAGGAGACCAGUUGCUGCAGAUAUCUUGAAACAUCGUUUAAACUCACUUCAAGUUUGCAGUAGUUUGUUGGGUUCACCCCCUUGAUCUUGUUAUUUAAUGUGUUAAUAAAGAAACCCAUGUACACCAAACAUCACACCCUUCAAUAUUUUCACAACUGUAUUUCAACAUAACUAGCUUCCUUUGUGAUCCUGUGUAUUUUAUUUUAUGCAUAGGAAAAUAUUUUGAGAAGGGAUCCACGGCACAAAAAAGGUCAGGAGCCCCCAGACAGGGCGGAGUGGGGCCUUGUUGACACUCUGGCCCAGAGUUAGCACGGCUGCCCCGCUGAGCACAGGCUCGCGCAGGAGGAACCAGGUCAGAAUCCCAGCGGGCACUGCUCCAGCUCCAGGAAAUCUUGGGGUAGGGGUGUGAGGCAUGACAGCGACAUCUUCUUUAGCUUGGUAGAGUAGCCUUGUGCCUCUGCUGCCCAUUGUGAAUAAGGGGAAAAUCACCAUCCUCUUACCUUAAAUUACAGGGGGUUUAGGGAGAAUGAGGACAGAAAAUGUGGGGAAAAGAGGAAGAGAUUCCUCCCUCCCCAGCUGUGGUUGUAUCUCAGCUCAGGGACAUGACUGUCCCACACCCUCCUGGAGAACAAAAGCUAUUUCAAUGUGCCAGGUGCAAGUUGAG